GAUGAACGCUGGCGGCGUGCCUAAUACAUGCAAGUCGAGCGAACAGACGAGAAGCUUGCUCCUCUGAUGUUAGCGGCGGACGGGUGAGUAACACGUGGAUAACCUACCUAUAAGACUGGGAUAACUUCGGGAAACCGUAGCUAAUACCGGAUAAUAUUUUGAACCGCAUGGUUCAAUAGUGAAAGACGGUCUUGCUGUCACUUAUAGAUGGAUCCGCGCUGCAUUAGCUAGUUGGUAAGGUAACGGCUUACCAAGGCAACGAUGCAUAGCCGACCUGAGAGGGUGAUCGGCCACACUGGAACUGAGACACGGUCCAGACUCCUACGGGAGGCAGCAGUAGGGAAUCUUCCGCAAUGGGCGAAAGCCUGACGGAGCAACGCCGCGUGAGUGAUGAAGGUCUUCGGAUCGUAAAACUCUGUUAUUAGGGAAGAACAUAUGUGUAAGUAACUGUGCACAUCUUGACGGUACCUAAUCAGAAAGCCACGGCUAACUACGUG
rnacentral:rRNA from 1 species